UUGAGAGACUUGCUUAUAUGUCUUGCAUGCUUUCUUAGGAAAUAGAUUACACUAAAGAAGCAGCAAAUGCUGAAAAAUUUUCUAAAAACUUCAAGGACAUGGAUUACGUGAAGGUGCCUAAUAUAUACUGGGAAUACACCACGCCGCAGGUACUCACAAUGGAAUAUGUUCCAGGAAUAAAGAUAAACCGGAUAAGG